rnacentral:rRNA from 1 species
UAGUACGGCGAGUGAAGAGGGAAGAGCCCAAGAUUGAAAGCUGGCGUCUUCGGCGUCCGCAUUGUAAUCUCAAGAAGUGUUUUCCGCUUCGGACCAAGCCUAAGUCCCCUGGAAAGGGGCAUCAUAGAGGGUGAUAAUCCCGUACAUGGCUUGGAGCGCCCGAGGCUUUGUGAUACGCUUUCUAAGAGUCGAGUUGUUUGGGAAUGCAGCUCAAAAUGGGUGGUAAAUGCCAUCUAAGGCUAAAUAUUGAGGAGAGACCGAUAGCGAACAAGUACAGUGAUGGAAAGAUGAAAAGAACUUUGAAAAGAGAGUUAAACAGUACGUGAAAUUGCCAAAAGGGAAGGGUAGGAGGUCAGAGAUGCGGCUUGGGAUUCAGCCUUGCUUUUGCUUGGUGUUUUUCCCAGAUUGCAGGCCAACGUCGGUUUUGGGCACUGGGGAAGGGUAGGAGGAACGUGGCACCCCUCGGGGUGUGUUAUAGCCUCCUACUGGAUACAGCGACCGAGACCGAGGACAGCAGCGUACUCGCAAGAGCGGGCCUUCGGGCACCUUUACGCUUAGGGCGUUGGCAUAAUGGCCCUCUACCACCCGUCUUGA